AUGGACGGGGCCGCCCACGUCGCCGGCGACUCGGCGGAGGCCGACAGGGCCUCCUCCUCGGCGUCGUCUACGGGCUCGGCCUCCCGGCGCUCCCGGCCGCACAGGGGGAUUCACCUGCGGCGGCGCCGGCGGCCGUUGUCCGUUCGGAGAGGAGAGGGCGGCGAAGGCGACGGCGGCAAGGGCGGCGGCGACGGCGUGCAGGACCUCGCGCUGCCGCUGGGGAUGUCCUUCGCGGCGGUUCUCGCCCAGGUUCUGAAUAAAAGCGGCGGUUCUGGAAGCAGAUUGCAACCUGAUUUUCUUUCAAAGAUGUGUACCUCAGCAGUGAAGGAGUCCUUAACAAAUAUAUAUGGAGACAGGUUUGAUAGUUUCAUGGGAAACUUUGAGAAAUCAUUUGGCAGUACACUGAGGACCCUUCAUCUACUCAAUGAGGCACCUGCCUGUGAGCAAGAUAUCCCUUGUUCUCACGGUGAUGGUAAUCCUGUGGUUGAGACCAAAUUGAGUGGCGCUGACUCACAAGGCCCGAUACCUGAUGUCCAGCAGAAUCCACACUUGAAUUCCAUGAAUAAGCAGAUUAUUCUUCACACGGAUGUCAAUCAGCAGCUGAUUCAGCUACCUCGUAGCAGAUCUAGUCCAGAAUGUGAUCAGGACAUCCUUAAUGUAUUUGAGAGAUCUCUGAAUGAGCAAGUUCGUUCAAAUGAGCUCAAGGAACUUGAAAUAGGGCUUAAUAUGAGGAAGUUGCAACUAAAGCAAUCUCAUUUAGCUCUCAGCUCCUAUUCACACAUGUUAGAGAAGAUCAAGAUCUCUAUGGGAUUUCAGAAAGCUGCUUUCAGAGAGGAGAAAUUAAAGACUCAAAUGCAGGACACGAGACAUGCUGAACUCCUCAGGAGGCUUAUAGAUAUGCUUCUGACAGCAGUAGUUUUUAUGUCUGCCUGUUUCGGAUAUGGAACAUAUAUUUAUUCGUACCAGCGGAUAACCGCUGUUACUGCAGCCUGUGCAGCUGCUUCAAAGGAGUCCAAAUCUUGGUGGAUGCCAAAUUCUGUAUCAGCUUUCAACUCAGGAUUGCUGUUUUUUAGAUGUCACUUGAUUGCAGCAACAAGGAUAUCAUUCGGCAUGCUGAUGAUUUUAUUGAUUGGUUGGUUGAUAUUCCAGCGUUCCGCAAUGACUGGACCCAACAUGCCAAUAACAUUCAAUCUUGUGUUAUUGGGAGGUGUUUGUGGUUUUGUUGGAAGGUUCUGUGUUGACACACUGGGUGGGGAUGGAAAUGUUUGGCUCGUAUUCUGGGAAAUCCUUUGCGCCAUCCAUUUACUUGGAAACAGCUAUCCAUCUCUUCUAUACCGUGGUCUUUAUGGCCCUAUUUCUGUGACGCACAAACCCAAGGCUCUCGGUUUGCCGUAUUGGGUUCGCCGGUACAUAUUCUAUGCUGUGCUGUCCUUGAUCCUUCCAUGCUUGGCUGGUUUGUUGCCGUUUGCAUCUCUAUCAGACUGGAGCGAACACGCAGUUGAAUAUAUGAAGUCCAGAUUCACUGGAAAUGACAUUGAGACUUGA
rnacentral:rRNA from 1 species